CCUGCGUUAGCGGUUGAAAUGGCAUCCUUUUUUGCGAUAGUUUACAACAAAUCUUUGCUGUUUACAAAGAGUUUGUGUUAUAAAACAAUUUUGAAUUAAUAUAAAACUGCGUCGCAGAAAAGAUAUAAUGGAAGACGCGACCCUUG
rnacentral:sRNA from 1 species